rnacentral:rRNA from 1 species
GUAGCCAAGUGCGGAGCGGAUAACCGCUGAAAGCAUCUAAGUGGGAAGCCCACCUCAAGAUGAGUACUCUCACAGCAAUAAGCUGGUAAGGUCACAGGAAGAACACCUGUUGAUAGGCGG